rnacentral:lncRNA from 1 species
ACAGAGAAAGAGAGAGGUGACAGCGAAGACUAUGAGAGCAGAGCCUUCAAACAACACAACAGCUGCGAAGAACCGAUCGAUUAGAUUUUUUAUCUUUUCAGGUUUUAGCCUUUUCUACUACUACUUAUUUUCUCAAGUUAUGAGUUAAAAGUUUGACAAAAAUUGCUAAAGCUUUAUUCGUUGAAUUUUUGCAUUUAUAUUUAUUUUCCUAGAAUUUUGGUAAAUCAGACACCCUUUCGGAAUCUAGUAUCUGGGUCUAUCUUAGUUUUUGAUUUGGUUUUUGAAAUUUUGGGUUGCAGCUGACUAAAUUUGAUUCAUUUUUGAAGAGUUUGAAACAAAUUUGCUGGCAUUAGAAUCUCAAUAACACUGGCGAUAUGAUGUGGGGUUGGGGACAAUGAGUUGAAGACUUACUAUAAUGAUGGUUUAGGAUGGAGGAUUACAAAUUUUGGAGCAGACUGAGUUUAUUUGUUUGACUGGAGCUCUUUUUGUUUGGUUAGAGAUUGUAUGAGAGAGUAGGGAUAGUUGUGAGAUUUAGUGAAGCCCUUGUUUUUAUGUUUUGUUUUGAUGAUGGUAGAGAUUGAGCCAGUCUGCGCGUACCUCGACUAUUUCACUCGAUACUUACUACCUCCCGCCAGAACACGUACGAAUAACUUUGCCCGUCCAGGCUUAGGCAGAUGUGAAGAUGAAUUUUGAACUUGAGACUUCAAGGUUCUCCUCCCACUUCAUGAACACUAGGCCACACCCUUGGGUGUUGUGAAGCCCUUGUUUUAGAGAACCUCCUUGGACAAAUUAUUGAGUAGUGGGAUGAAGCUGGUGAAAUGCAAUUGAAUGGAUAUAGAGGAUAAAUAUAGCCGAUCCAAACUAUUAUGUGGUUAAGGUGUAAUGAAGAAUCUGAAACUGAGUUGCUGCUUUUGAAUUCAAUAGUAGUGGUUAGUUGAUGUGAGGUUGGGGUCGAUGAGAUUAGGACUUGGAAGCUUGUUGCAUAUAACUAUAAUUAGAUAGCCAAUGAGGGGAUUUCAUUGGAAACUAGAAAGAGCAAGGAGAAGAUGCAAUGGUAGACUUGACUUAUUGAAAACAGAAGAAUAAGAAGCUUCGGCACACUUAAUUGUUUAAGAUUUACUGUUAGAAUUGACGCUUUGAGGUUUUUGCGAGGUUAAAUUAGAAUUGAUUUCUCUGAUUAAUAUAACUGAUUCGUAGUGAACAUACUGCUGAAGUUUUCCAAAGGCUUAUAUCAUAUGUGUUAAAAAGCUUACCGAAGCUUCAAGUGGCUUUAGCUUAUUUCCCUAGAUCCAAUUAUAAAGCCACUAUAGACGUACAUGCUAUCCUCUAAGAUUGACUAUCAGUCAUCUCAAGUCCAUUUUUCCUAAAACAAUCUUUCAAUAGGUAUCAAAAUCGAGGCCCCCAAGGGUUAGCUCAAUUGGAGAAGCACAAAUUCGAGCCACUAACUCUAGUAUUUGAGGAGAAAGGUAGAGGGGCGGGCUCAUCAUCCCCAAGUUUCGGAGGCUGGUGUUGGCCAAAAGGUUGGCUCCAGACGGAUUUCUCGGUCACAAAAAAAGUAUCAAAUUCCGAUUGAAAAAUAAUGUGAAAAUUGAAAACGAAUGGGAAAGAUAUUAAUAAACAACAACAACAAUAACUAUGACUCAAUCCCAAACAAGUUGGGAUCGGCCGUAUGAAUCCUCACUUUCCACGUUACUCUAUUUAAGCUCAUCUCAUGCCAAUUAUGUAAAUACAGAUGAAAAGUAUUAGAAGUUUUCUAUAUUUUCUAAAUGUAUGAAUCUCUAGAAAGCAUAAGACCUACAAUAAAAUUGCUUUGUAACUAUUAGGUAUUGCCCGUAUAAAUCUUUUUCUUCUAUUGUGCCCUAUCUUUGGCUGGAAAUUUUAGGUCCUCCGAGACAACUUCCUUCCGUGUAAUAGGUCUACCCCGUCCGCUUUAACAUCUUCACUCUCCAUGGUUUCACACCUACAUACCGGUGUAAGGAAAGAACUUAAUCAUUGUCCAAUAAAUUUACAGAAAAGAAGAUUGCUGCUUGGAUAUUAAACAAACUUAUGAACCAUGCAAGUACCUCUGCGACAAUAAGAGCA